CCCGCUGAACUUAAGCAUAUCAAUAAGCGGAGGAAAAGAAACUAACAAGGAUUCCCCUAGUAACUGCGAGUGAAGAGGGAAGAGCUCAAAUUUAAAAUCUGGCAGUGUUUUGCUGUCCGAGUUGUAAUCUAGAGAAGUGCUGCCCGUGCUGGACCAUGUACAAGUCUCCUGGAAUGGAAUCUCACAGAGGGAGAGAAUCCCGUCUUUGACAUGCACUGCCAGUGCAUUUGUGGUGUGCUCUCAUAGAGUCGAGUUGUUUGGGAAUGCAGCUCUAAAUGGGUGGUAAACUCCAUCUAAAGCUAAAUAUUGGCGAGAGACCGAUAGCGAACAAGUACCGUGAGGGAAAGAUGAAAAGAACUUUGGAAAGAGAGUUAAACAGUAUGUGAAAUUGUUGAAAGGCAAACGCUUAAAGUCAGUCGUGUCGGCCAGGGAUCAACUCAGUAUUAUCUGCUGGGUGUACUUCCUGAUCUGAUGCGCCAUACAUCAGUUUUGACUGCUGGAGAAGGAUAGGGGGAAUGUGGCACCUUCGGGUGUGUUAUAGCUCUCUGUCGCAUGCAGUGGUUGGCACUGAUGAAAGCAGCAAGCCACACGGCCUGGUCGAUUCGACCACGAUCAUGCUGACGAUGUUGUCAUAAUGGCUUAUAUCGACCCGUCUUGCAACACGC
rnacentral:rRNA from 1 species